UUCCCUGCCUUGUGCUCCUCUUCACAGCUGUGGAGGACCCCACCGAAAGGAUCAGCCGAUACCGUAGGCUUCUCAACAGCCUCCCAGUUGUCAACAAAGCCACCCUGAAGGCGCUGAUCAACCAUCUCUACCGGAUCCAGUGUUUUUCUGACGAGAACCAGAUGACCACCCACAACCUCGCCAUUGUCUUUGGGCCCACGCUCUUCCAGACGGACGGCAAGGACUUCAAGGCUGGGCAAGUGGUGGAAGACCUCAUCAGAUGCUACAUGGAGAUCUUCAGUGUGGACGAGGAAGAGAUGAGGAAGCAACAGGAAGAAAUCCAGGCCAUCUUGAAGAUGCGCAUCGCGGGGACCUCCAGCGGGACGCAGGUAAGUUGAGUCGCAUGAU